UCAAAUAAAAAAAAAAAAAAAAAAAAAAGAACACUUAAGUUGAGAAACACUCUGGCCUCAGUUUGAUUAAUGCUACGGGACUUACUAAAAAGCGUGUUAGUACAUACAUAAUGUAAAGUACUGCUGCUAACUUAGCUUUUUAAUUUUUGUGCCAGUUCGUCAUGAAUGUCACAGAGCAAAGGUUCUUAAUGUGGAGUUCACACAGGGGCUCAGGGAUCCAUGGGGUCAUCUGCAGUUGUGUUUAAAGGGAUGUUUGCCUUUUUCUAAGAGGAAUGUGAGUCGCUUUCAGAAGGCCUCUUAGCAGCAUGUUAGGUUUUCAGGAGCUCCCUCGACCCAGCAAGGAUUGAGCAGUGCUCUCAGAGAGGGUCCUCGUGUGACGGACAUGCGUCUGCUGCCGCGUGGAGUAAGGCGCCGUGGGGCCUGCUCUGCUUUGUGCCUCAGGUGGAGAUAAGUCGCAGAGUGACUCUGGAGAAGCUGCCCCCCGUGCUGGUGCUGCACCUCAAACGGUUUGUUUACGAGAAGACUGGUGGAUGCCAGAAGCUCAUCAAAAACAUUGAAUAUCCUGUGGACUUGGAAAUCAGUAAAGAACUGCUUUCUCCAGGGGUUAAAAAUAAGAAUUUUAAAUGCCACAGAACCUAUAGGCUGUUUGCAGUGGUCUACCACCACGGCAGCAGUGCGACGGGCGGCCACUACACCACGGAUGUCUUCCAGAUCGGCCUCAACGGCUGGCUGCGCAUCGAUGACCAGGCGGUCAAGGUGAUCAACCAGUACCAGGUGGUGAAGCCCACUGCGGAGCGCACAGCCUACCUCCUAUAUUACCGCCGUGUGGACCUGCUGUAGCCGCCUGCGCGCUGUGUGCCCGACGCCCGCUUGCAGACACCGACUCCCUCUGACUUCCUCCCUCUCUUUAGCGGCUCUCUAGAGAGAAACUCUUCCUCCUUUGCAGAAAUGGGCUAGAAUGGAAAGCAGACGCCUCGGGGUUUGUGCGCAAGAGUUCGCGUUGACGUCUGCCUUCCAAAUCAAAAUCAUUCGGUUCAAACAGACUCGCUUGAUUUAAGAAAAUACACAAAACCCAUGUUUCUGAAAUAAUGCUGAUUCCUGAGUAAGAAGGGGGACUUGCAUUUGAUUCCCAUUCUAAUUGCUUAGUAGAAUAAAUCCUGCACCAGCAACACUUGUAAAUUUGUGAAAAUGAAUUUUAUCUUUCCUUAAAAAAAUAAAUUUUUUAAUCCAUCACACUUUCCUUCCCACCCUUUAGUUUUUGAUAAACAAUAAAAAUGAGCCAGUUAUCAGAGAAGAAAUAGUUCUUCAAAAGAAACGUAAAUACAAAAAAUAAGUUGCUGGUUCCUAACAGGAAAAAUACAUUUUAAUAAUUGUGCGAUGAGAAGCUGCUUACGUACACAAUGCAGAUCAGAUAUUUGGAGUUAAGAUGUUAGUCCACAUAGAUGGGUGAUUGUAAACUUUAUUGCUAUUAAAAGAUUUCAAAUUGCAUUCAUGCUUCUGUGUACACGUAAUGAACAAUGGGCAAAAUAAUGAAGAUUGAUACUUCCCUAAGUCGCUCUGUUUAAUUCUGCUGUCUGCUCUUCUAUAACGCUGCGUCUCUAAUUGUACACAGUUUAGUGAUCUCUAGGAGUACAGAAGUUGUCGCCCAUCAAUAAAAAUCACAAAGUUGGUUUAAA